rnacentral:rRNA from 1 species
CGUCUAAGUUAUGGAAGGGGAAGUUGCCUGGAAGGGCACAGCCAGAGAGGGUGAAAGUCCCGUAACCGUACAUAAUAUGACCACGUGACUGUCAAAGAGUAGCAUGCGUUGGAAAUCGCGUGUGAAUGUGGGAGGCAAAUACUUCCAAUCCUAAAUACAGCUCGAGACCGAUAGUUUACAAGUAACGUGAGUGAAAGCUGAAAAGUAUCCUUAGCGGGAUGUGAAAAGAUCGUGAAACCAGUUGGGUACAGGCUGAUUGGGCGUGAAAGCGAUGAUAUGAGCAGCGUCCAAUCGUGCGUUUAGAAAAAUGCCCCAGGGAGUCUUGAUCAUUGGCGAGGUUAAGCGGUUGAUCCGCGUAGCCGAAGGGAAACCGACAAGUCCGCAGCAGUUUACUGUGAGGGACGAAGUGUGCUCGCUUGGAGUCAAUGGUGGAGGACCUGAAGCCCGACGAUCUAUGCCUGGCCAGAUUGAAGCCCGUUGAAAGAUGGGUGGAGGAUCGAACCGUUGCUGAUCUGCAAAUCGCUCGGACGAGCUGGGUAUAGGGGUGAAAGUCCAAUCGAGUUGGGCAAUAGCAGGUUCCGCGUGAAACUACUCGUAGGUAGACGUUAGAGGAGAUUGAUUACGCUGUAGAGCACUGAUUGCGCAUUUAGGGGGAGCGAUUCCUCGAUGCGCUGCCAAACUCCGAAGGUGUAAUCGUCGUAGAUACUAGCAGUGAGUGAUGGUGGGUAAGCUACCAUUACGCAAGGUGAACAAACCAGCCUGAAGUUAAGGUCCCUAAAUAUCAAUUAAGUGUCACAGACAAACCGUGUCCGUGGUCGAAAACAACUAGAAGGUGGGCUUAGAAGCAGCCAUCCUUGAAAGAGUUCGUAACAGAUCACUAGUCUAGCUUGCGGGCCGGGAAAAGGGACGGGGCUAAAAUUGAUUACCGAUACUUCAGACCAUCGAAAGAUGAUGUGGUAACGCGGCGUUGUGUUUGGAUAGAAGGUGGGCUUUAAGGUCCGCUGGACCGAAUACAAAUGAGAGUCUUGGGAAGAGUAGCAGCACAGUGUGGUGAGAAUCCGCACCGCCUUAUAAACCAGGGUUCCUCGGCACUGUUUAUCAGCCGAGGGUUAGCCGGUCCUAAGGUCAUUCUUAACCGAAAUGAUCGAAAGGGAAAUGCGUUAAUAUUCGUAUGCCUCCUAUACAUAAAAUGGUGACGGCUUGGGCAAAACUUGUGGAUCAUAUGUCAGGUCCACUUGCACUAAAUUUCUGGAGAACUGUCACAGUGAGAAGGAAAUAAAGUCCCAGGUCCCGUGAAAAGCCGUAUAGGAUGUCCGUACCGAGAACUGACACAGGUGUUUUUGGGUGAGUAGCCUAAGGCGUAUCGGAUACAAGUAUCGCGAGGGAACUCGGCAAAAUAGCUCCGUAACUUCGGGAGAAGGAGUGCCAGAUUAGAGAUAAUCUGGUCGCAGUGACUAGGGAGCUCCGACUGUUUAAUAAAAACAUAGGGGACUGCCAGAUCGAAAGGUUGUGUAUAGUCCCUGAAUCCUGCUCAGUGCUGGUAUCUUAAAUCGGGUUUCAACCUGACGAAGGACCAGUAAACAGCGGGGGUAACUAUGACCCUCUUAAGGUAGCGUAAUACCUUGUCGCUUAAUUGGCGACUUGCAUGAAUGGUCCAACGAGGGCUCCACUGUCCCCGCGAUACGUCCGGCGAAAUUGACUUUACUGGCGCACAGUCCAGUACAUUCUACCCGCAAGCGAAGACCCCAUAGAGCUUUACUGCAGCCUGUCGUUGCAUUGUCGCUUUCCAUGUACUGUGUAGGUGGGAGACGUUGAUCCCUGGGACACUAGUAUCGGGAGUAGUCGAAACAAGAGACAACACCCUUGGAAGGUAACAAUGCUAACUCUUUAUGAGAACACCGAUUGGUGGGCAGUUUGGGUGGGGCGCCACGCGCUCGAAAACCUAACAAGCGUGCCCAAUGGUCAGCUUAAGUGGUUCAGCACUCCACUGUUAACUGUAAGGGGAAAAGCUGGCUUGACGUGGAUCCGCACAAUGAGGAUCGACGAUGCGAAAGCAGGGCCUAACGAACCAAUGUACCUCAUUUAUGGGGGUCAUGAAUAACAGAAAAGUUACUUCGGGGUAAAGUGGUUUGCCACCAGCAAGACCACAUACCACCCGGGUGGCUGGCUACUUCUAUGUCGCCUUUUCCCAACCUCCUGGUGCGUGAGCUGGGAAGU